rnacentral:lncRNA from 1 species
CUUUACCAAGUUGGAAGUUCUUCUCUUGUCAAUGGGAUCAGAAUACCUUGCUAUCCCUUCAGCUAGUGACUCUAUUUGUGUUGGUUGUGUAUGACUUAACCCUGAUAUUCUCAUGUCUAUCUCUGUUUGGAAUCCACUUUGCCUUUUAAUGUCAGAGGAAUCUGGAGUGAAGGAAGUUGUAUUUGGAAAUGUAUCAGCCACAUUUUCACCUUGCCACAUUGCUUUCAGUUUGGUUUUUAAAUUGGAUUCAAGUUUCUUCCUAUGUUUUGUAGUAAACUGCCCACUGAUUUUAUGUAUCUGUGAAAUUGGUGGUUUCUUUUCCUUCAUAGUUAAACAUUUGGGAUUCAAUAUAAUUUUCCUUUCUGAUAACUGUAUUGUGUUUAUCUGGUUUUUAGAGUCAGAUAAAACAGGCAUGAAGAAAUCUAAAGGACCCAGGAAAGUUGCAGUUAAUAGAUCUUUCCAAGCUUUAUGGUACUGAAUCCCUAAUUAGCAUUCCACUGAAGAGCUCUUAAGGAACUGAAAAGGAACUGCUGCGUACCACUCCUGCUGAUGGGUAGGUUUACAUAGGGGUAAGUAUUAUCCCUCUCC